GACGAACGCUGGCGGCGUGCUUAACACAUGCAAGUCGAACGGUGAAAGCGGAGCUUGCUCCGCUGGAUCAGUGGCGAACGGGUGAGUAACACGUGGGCAACCUGCCCCUCACUUCGGGAUAACUCCGGGAAACCGGGGCUAAUACCGGAUAUGACCUCCUUGGGCAUCCUUGGAGGUGGAAAGUUUUUCGGUGAGGGAUGGGCCCGCGGCCUAUCAGCUUGUUGGUGAGGUAGUGGCUCACCAAGGCGACGACGGGUAGCCGGCCUGAGAGGGCGGACGGCCACACGGGGACGGAGAAGCGGCCCAGGGUCCUACGGGGGGCAGAGGUGGGAAAUAGUGCGUGAUGGGCGAGAGGCUGAGGCAACAUGGGCGGGUGCGGGAUGACGCACUUCGGGUUGUAGACCGCUUUCAGCAGGGAAGAGGCCGCAAGGUGACGGUACCUGCAGAAGAAGCAGCGGCUAAAUACGUGCCAGCCGCCGCAGUAA
rnacentral:rRNA from 1 species